rnacentral:lncRNA from 1 species
GUGCGGCCUUCCCCAGCGGCUGUAGCAGGAGACCUGCGGCUGCAUCUCCCAGGGCCUUCCGGCGGGGCCGAGGGUAGGACCGAGGCACUUCUUCCUUGCAAGCGCGUUUAUUUGUAUUUUCAACCACACUUCAGACGCUACUGGUUUAUAGGAACGUUAAGUUUACUGAGUGUGCAGCUACGCUCCCCUGGGUUUUUGUUCCUUUCCUUAAAGGGCCAGGUGUAGGAGACAGUAGUCCUGCUCCCAAAAAAAGAAUAAAUAGAAGUGCCCGCCCUCUUGGGCUGGACCCCCGUGGCCAAGGGAGUUUUUAGUGAUGGCUGGCAUGGACGUCAGUAUGAAAGUGUACCGGAGUAUUAGUGAUGCUUAACUUUUCACAAUUUGAAUAUGCACUUAAGUAGGGCAGUGCAUUCCCUGAACUCAGCUUUAUGGCUACAGCCCAGUGAAGCAACGGGAUGUGAACUCCAAAACGGCGAAUCCUCCUUUGCUGUUUCCCUCUGGUGCCUUUCUGCAGCCUCGGAGUGAGUUCUUGGCUGUAGUCAGUUUUCAGUACCGUUAGUGACGAGUCCGGUGGGGCGCGGCCAGGAUUAGGAUGAAUCAUACAAGUGCUGGGUGGAUCCUGUCUUUACCUAAAAUUUUGAUAAUUAGUUGUGGGGCGCGGCCAGGAUUAGGAUGAAUCAUACAAGUGCUGGGUGGAUCCUGUCUUUACCUAAAAUUUUGAUAAUUAGUUCAUCAUGGGUUUUUUGCCUUUUUCAUUUUUAAAAAUGUUAAAAUAGUGUCACUCUUGAUGACUUAAAUUUUUUUCAUCCCCGUAAACGCACCUGAGGCCUGUGCUUCCUUGCCUCACCCUAACCUGGCCCUGGGGCUAGAUCCUGGAGAUUCAGGGUUGAAAAGACAAAGUCCUGUCCUUUAGGGAGUUUACAGAGACCAAUGGGAAAGAAGUUGACAGUGAACAAUUUCAGAACACGAAAGAGGAUAUGAAAGAAUGUAAUCGGGGGUAGAGAAUGCAGAUUAGUAUAGGUUAAGGAUUUUGGAUGGUCAGGACGCUUUCUGAGGCUUUGAACCCAGAUGCGUUGAACUGGCAAUGCAGGGCUGCAUAAUAAGCAGAGGGAAUAAUAAGCAGAGGGAAUGCCUGACUACGACUUAGUGAACAAGAGAGAGAGGAGAUGAGGUUAGAGAGGUAGGCAGAAGCCAGAUCCUGUGGGACCUUGUAGUUUUUCCAUGCAGAGUUUAGACUUUCUUCUGAUUGCAGUGGUUAGCUGUUGGAAGGAUUUUGGCAAGGUAGUUAUUUGUUGAUAGAAUAUUGAAAUUAUAAUAGCUUUUUUAUGUAAAAAAAAGAAUGUAAAUGUUAGCCUUUCAUUCUCACAAUAGGUUAGCAUUAUUUUCAGUGUACAAUGGUCGUGCUUCUCAGUGUGAGUUAAUUCUCACUGUGGCUACCAAAACCACACAGCUAGUAAGCGGAGAUUCGAGUGCCCGUCUGCAGGAUUCAAAAAGUCCAUGUCCUUUCCUCUUAUGCUAUGCUAGCCUAUAACACUAUCUGCUGGAGUCCUGGUUGGUUUUAGUACAUUUCACAUUACUUCACAGUUUGACCUUAGAGAUAAUUGUAUUCACCUCUUCUAUUUUCAGAUGCUGGCAUAAAUACAAAAUUCGAAGCAGGCAAGGUUUCUCAUUACAUUAGUUUUUAUUUGUAUUUUUUUGAGACUGAGUCUCGCUCUGUAGCCCAGGCUGGAGUGCAGUGGCGCGAUCUUGGCCCGCUGCAGUCCCUGCCUCCUGGUUCAAGCGGUUCUCCUGCCUCAGCCUCCCAAGUAGCUGGGAUUAUAGGCAUGCGCCACCACGCCUGGCUAAUUUUUAUAUUUUUAGUAGAGACGGGGUUUCACCUUUUUGUCCAGGCUGGUCUUGAACUCCUGAUCUCAACUGAUCCAUCCACCUCGGCCUCCCAAAGUGCUGGGUGGCAUGAGCCACCGAGCCUGGCUCAUUAAAUUAGCUGAGCAUCUGGAAUAUAACCUUUGGAUCUUAUCCUCAGCUUAGAUUUGUUCUUCAGCAGUUUUUUUAUUCUCUAGAAAAAGGCUGAUAUAUUAUUGGAGAAAUCAAAAUUUCUGUCAUAAUGUAAUAUAAAGAACCAAGCAUGUUUUGUUGCAUGCUAGAAUAAUUUGUUAGGUUUUUUUUUUCAGCUUAUUGGGUUACUGCAUCAUUGACAUUAAAUAAUGUUUGAGCUUUAAUUAUUAUAUUAUUCAUAACUGUCGAUAGGUUCAGUUCACUGGCACCUGUUAAAAUUCUCAUCUAAGUGAGAAAGUUAGGGCCACUCUGGCGGGGUGUGGUGGCUCAUGCCUGUAACCCCAGCACUUUGGGAGUCAGAGGCAGGAGGAUUGCUUGAGCCCAGGAGUCAACAUGGUGAAACCCCAUCUCUACCAAAAACAAAAAAAGCAAAAAUUAGCCAGGCAUGGUGGUGCAUACCUGUAGUCCCAGCUACUUGGGAGGCCGAGGUGGGAGGAUGGCUUGAGCCCAGAGGCAGAGGUUGCAGUGAGCUGAGAUCGCAUCACUGCACUCCAGCCUGGCGACCAAAAAAUAAAGGGCAAGGGGACAUUCUGAAUUUUACUAGAAGCCAAUAGAUGUAUACACCUCAUUUUUCAAAUCAGCAUCAAUCAGUUGUUGGGUGUUUAGGUGGAACAUGAAGUGCAGAGAGAACUGCCCUCAUUCUUUCGUAAAAUUCUUAUCGCAGACCUAUCACAUGCAAAACAAUGGGAUAUAUGGAAAUAAAUGGGACAUGACACCUGCCCUUGUGCUUAUUAUCUGUGGGCUUGCCACAUAAUAGCCAUAAUAGGUGUUCAGUAAAUAAUUUCUGAAUACCAAUCAGGCAUAUCUGUGGGGGUAAGGUGUAUAAAAUAAAGCUAUGUGGAACACUGGAUGAGUCAAAUACAUUUAAAUUUGUGGAAAUUUUGGCCGGGACUGGUGGCUCACACCUGUAAUCCCAGCACUUGGAAGGCCUAGGUGGGCAGAUCACCUGAGGUCAGAAGUUCAAGACCAGCCUGGCCAACAUUGUGAAACCCCAUCUCUACUAAAAAUACAAAAAAUUGGCCAGGCAUGGGGGCGGGUGCCUGUAAUCCCAGCUACUUGGGAGGCUGAGGCAGGAGAAUCAUUUGAACCUAGGAGGCGGAGGUUGCAGUGAGCCGAGAUCACGCCAUUGCACUCCAGCCUGGCCAGCAAGAGUGAAACUCCAUGUCAAAAAGAAAAAAAAAAAUUGUGGAAAUUUUCAUAGAAAAAAAGGAGUUACUUCUAUGUACCAGGAUAAGGGAAUAAUCUGUAGGACAGGGUUUCUUAACCUCAGCACAUUUUUGGCCAGAUAAUUGUUGUAGGAUGUUUAGCAGCAUCUCUUUUAUUCCAUCUUCCAGUUGUGGUAACUGUCUCUAAACGUUGUCAGAUGUCUCCUGCGGGGGCAAAAGACCCUCUGGAUGAGAACCAUGGCUGUAGGGGAUGUCUUCUGAAGAAAUGGGCACAAAGGAGGCCUACAACAUAAAGAACAAAAUAAGGGAAAGGGUAAAUGCAGUUGCAUUUAUCAGGAUAAUUUAAUUUGAUGUGGCAUGGGGGGUGGUGUAUAAAGUGAGCUAAUACAAAAUGAUGCUGGAUACAGAUCAUGGAUGUAUUGUAUACACAGUGGAAAGCUGGUUUUAUUUGGGAGACAAUGGGAGCUUUUACAUUGUUGAGCAAAGGAGUGACGAGAUCAGUCUUGCUUUUUAGAAAGAUUAGUUUGGCAGUUACUUAUUUGUAACCAGAAUUAGACAGCAAAUCGGAUGCAGGGGAGAAGUCAGGUGACUAUUAGUCUGCGAAGUAAUUCUGGACAAGAGCAGUGGUAAUGGAAUUGAAAAGGAUUAAAAGUGUUUACCAGGUUUUAGCAAUAAAUCCAAUGCGAGGAAGAGGAACGUAAGAUGACAUUUUAAAUUUGAGAGUGGUAGUACCAUUAAAAACUAAUGAAUUUUGAUUAACUAGUGCUUUAGGCCCUUUGAAAUUAUUUUGAAUUUUGGUUCUUUCUGAACAAUGCACCAGAUUUCUAGACAAAUACUUAAGGUGUUUUUAGACAUCUAUUUAGUGCCUAUUAUAGCAUGGUGUUAGCUUCCGAAGAGACAAGAAUGAUGAAAAUACAAUCUUAUCCAUUAGUGGCAUUGUGAGAGGUCUAGCAGUAACUUGUUCAUCCUAUGCCCUGAUCCACCCUUUCUCAUUUCCUUAUUAAGCACACAAUACUGAGACCAGAAUAAAGCAGUGCAUUUACUACCUUGUGAAGAAUGUUCAGGUGUUCAGGUAUGGUAUCUUCAUUUUGUGCUGCUAUAACAGAAUACAGGAGACUGGGUAAUUUGUAAGGAACAGAAAUGUAUUUCUCACAGUUCUGGAGGAUGGGAAGUCUAAGAUCAAGGAGCUGGCACUUGUUGACUAGGGCUUUCUUGCUGUGUUCUCACAUACAGAAGGCAAGCUAGCAGGAUGCUCCCCGAAACCUCUUUUAUUAUGGGCCUUCAUCCCAGUCCUAAGAGAAUCCCUCAUGGCCUAGUGAUCUCUUAAAGACCCCACCUCUUGAUGCUGUCACAUUGGCAACACUUGAAUUUGAGGGGACACAUACAAGCCAUAGCAAACUGAACAUUUCUCCCAUGCCAGAUAGCACCAUGUUCUUUGUCAGUAGGUGGUGGUAGAGGGGCACUGCAGGAUAAAGGGGCUUCUUUCACUUCUAAGAUGAUACUGUGACAGUUAAUUUUAUGUGUCAACUUGGCGGGGCCACAGGUGCCUAGCUACUGGGUCAUACUUUUUUUUUUUUUUUUUUUGAGAUUUAACUUUUGCUCUGAUUUUCCAAUUAUAAGGUCAAACAUUAUUCUAGGUGUUUCUGUGAGGGUGUUUUAUAUGAGAUUGACAUUUAAAUCAAUCAGUGAACUCUGAGUAAUGCAGACUGUCCUCCUCGAUGUUAGUGGGCUUGAUCCAGUCAGGUGAAGGUCUGAAGAGAAAAAAAGACCGUCCUCUUCCCAGAACAAGAGAAUCCUCCAACAGAUACCUUUGGACUGGACCUUGCACCAUCAGCUUUCCUGGGUUUCCAGCCUCCUGCCUCACACUCCAGCUUUUGGACUUGUUAGACUUAAUAAUAACAACACAAGCCAAUCCUUUUAAGGAAGUUUGUCUGGAGAAUCUUGACAAACACAAACAUCUACUGAGAGUUCCUGUCCAAGUUUUGCUCACACCCUAGCAAGAGGCUUCUGGCUUACCAGUUGGGAGUGUGAGGUUCUUUGCUUGUAAGACCUGAUCCACCAGCGGUACACCAGCUCUGGCCCAGGGCAAGACAGGGAAUUUCCCAAUCACUGAGUAGGCUGUAGCCACUCUCUCCAUUAGGCCUGACUUCACCAUGGGGAAGGGGAGACCCUUUCAAGGGUAUUCUUUCCUGGGGUACUCUCAGUCCUAGGACAUCAUAGCUCUCUUUCAUCCCUCUUAAAAGUUAAUACCAUUAUCAGUUAACAGUUUUUAUAUUAAAAUUAUCCCUGUUCAAGUUAAUGGUAUGGUUUCUGUAUCCUGACUGGAUAUUAGGAUACAGUAUUUACUGUCUUAUUUCUACUACUUUAUGUUUAAAGUUUUUCAUAAUAUUUAAACUGAAGUUUUGAUCAUUCAUUAAAUAUUUACACAGAACAGGACAAAGGAUGAUUUUCCUUUGUCUAGUUAUUGUAAGGUAGCGUCCAAGAUUUACCACCACAUCAUGAUUACAGAUGGUCACCAACUUAUGUUUUAGGAUUUUUUGACUUUAUGAUGGGUUUAUAGGGAUGCAGCCCCAUUUCAAGCUGAGGAGCUCCUUAGGGCUUAGGAAUCAUACCUCUUUCACACCAUGGUAAAGUUGGAAAAUUGUUAAGUCAAGCUGUCAUUAAUUAGGAGACUGCUGUGUUGCUAACGUUAUAUGCAUUUUUAACUUAUGAUGGGUUUAUUGGGAAUUAACCACAAUGUAAAUCGAGGACCAUCUGUAUAUUGUAUGAUUUUUGCUAAUGCAUUGAGAGAGAUCUGUGUAAAUUAUCUAUGACUUCAGAAUAUGCAUAUUACCUCCAACUGUGUUAACUCAACGUUUUUCAAGAGAGUAAGGGUACUUUCACCCUAUGUGGAUGUACUGUAGAAUUUUUCUAAGCUACGAAAGUCUAUAAAUAACAAAUCAACUUAAACUUUUUGGGAAAUAAUUUCUACUAAAGAUUCAUAAUCGGCGUAUUCCUUCAAUGACUGUACAAGUUCAUCCAGUAGAUAAUCUCCUUGCAUAAAAGUUUCAAGAUCAUGCAGCGUCUUGUUUAUUCUGUGAUCUGUGACCCGGUUCUGUGGAAAAUUAUAUGUUCUUAUUUUCUCUGAUCUUCCUUUACUUCCAAUCUGUAUAUAGAGAAAAAGAUGAGAUGCAGCUAGAUUCAGGGCAAUUUAAACCUACAAAUUUAACUUAUUUGGAGACUUAAGUUCUUGAUUUAUAACAUGAAUCAAAUGCGAGAACCAGGUUUUAAACACUUAGAAUCUCAAAUGACAUGGGAACAUGAUAUAGAAAAAAGAACACGUGCUCUAAAAUCAGAUUAAUAUCUGAAUCCUGCCUCAGCCACUUCAAUGUUCUAUGACCUCGGGCAACUUAGUUUCCCGAUCUGCAAAAUACAGUGUCUACUACACAGUGAUGAUGACAAUAGAGCCUGGCACAUAGAUGCUAUUCCUAUAGUCGCUGAAUACAUAUAAUCUCUGUGAAUUAAUGCAGUCAUCUUCCGUGGUAACAAGGUGGUGAGUUUCCCAUAUUGAGGAAUUCUUAAAAGGCUCUGUAGUUAUAAAAUUAAAUACCGGCCAGGCGCGGUGGCUCACACCUGUAAUCCCAGCACUUUGGGAGGCUGAGGUGGGUGGAGCACCUGAGGUCAGGAGUUCGAGACCAGCCUGCCCAACAUGGCAAAACCCCGUCUCUACUAAAAAUACAAAAAAUUAGCCGGGUGUGGUGGCAGGCGCCUAUAAUCCCAGCUACUCAGGAGGCUGCAGCAGGAGAAUUGCUUGAACCCAGGGGGUGGAAGUCGCAGUGAGCUGAGAUCGCACCACUGCACUCCAGCCUGGGUGACAAGAGCGGAACUCCAUGUCAAUAACAAACAACAACAACAAAAAUUAAAUACAGGAAGAAAAAAACAGGAAGAAAGCCAAGUUGAGUUUGCUUUCCAACUUUCUUGCGUAAUUAAAAUUUCAAAGGAUUAAAAAUGAAUGAGGACUCAGUAUAUAUCUUUAUUUUUAGUAACGGAUUAAAAGUCUGAGAAAAAUACCUUUGAAUAUAGAAAACAGGGCAGAGAUGUAAGAUUACUAUCAAAGAAGGAUAGCCCUUAGACUACUUGAAUUGUUUUCAACACAGGUUAAAACAAAUAUAUAAAAACCAAGUUAUUUAAAAAAAGCUGAGUUAUAUAAAAAUAUUUCUAUCCUUUAAAAGCAUUUUUAAAAUUCUUUUUUUACCUGAAUUUUUCUAGCAUUCUGUCUUUUAUUUAUUUCUUCUUCUAGAUGCAUGCUGUACAGUUUUGCACGUAACUUUGUCAUAGCCAGCUCUUUAUUUUUCAGCUGAGAUCUCUCUUGUUGACAUUCAGAAACAACACCUGAAUAGUGUUACGAGAAUUAAAAAGUUUUAAUAAAAAAAUCUUCUUUACUUAUUAUCAAGGAAUACUUUUCCUCCUCAUCCUUUUUCUUCUUCCUUUAUGAGGGGAAAAAACAGAGGACUCUAAUAAAAAAGGGAGAGACUAUAAGCUUAACUUUUGCAGAGUUUAUCAGAAAACUGAAAAUUUAAGUUUUGAGCAAUAGCACAAAUAGCACAAAGUCUUUCUUUCUUUCUUUUUUUGUCUGAGAUGGAGUCUCGCUCUGUCGCCCAGGCUGGAGU